UACGUAGGGGGCAAGCGUUGUCCGGAUUUAUUGGGCGUAAAGAGCGUGUAGGCGGCCAGGUAGGUCAGCUGUGAAAACUCGAGGCUCAACCUCGAGACGUCGGUUGAAACCACCUGGCUAGAGUCCGGAAGAGGAGAGUGGAAUUCCUGGUGUAGCGGUGAAAUGCGCAGAUAUCAGGAAGAACACCCGUGGCGAAGGCGGCUCUCUGGGACGGUACUGACGCUGAGACGCGAAAGCGUGGGGAGCGAACCGG
rnacentral:rRNA from 1 species